rnacentral:lncRNA from 1 species
GUGAAUAACCCCGGCCCUGGUGCGCGCUGAGUUUCGCCUAAAUCAGCGCCCCACUCCUCUGCAAGGUGUAGUGCUGCAGGCGCUAGCCUGCCCGGGUCCUCGGGCAAUCCCAGAAAAGGAAGGCCAGUGUUUGAGCAUGGGUGCCCGCGUCCUAGCCGCCGUGGGGGAACCCUCCGUUCUCCCUGAACUGCGGCCCUUAGCAGCGCGGAAGACUCAGGACCGAUGCCGGAUUCCUUUAACAGCUUGACCAAAGUCCUCCUGGCACCGCGCCUCCCUCCCUGUCCCUCGGAACUCCCGGUGGUUUUGCUCCAAAGCGGCCAGAACCUGGACCCUUUUUGAUUAAUUAAAAUAGGGCCAGCCAGACCUGGUUGAGGCACGCCUGUUAUCGCAUCACUUUGGGAAGCUGAGCCAAGCUGAUUCUGACUCAAACGGCCCUCCCUAGAGUAACUGUGGUCAGCCACCAGCCUAAAGGAGCCACCUGGGCCACUCUCAGUUCUGUGGCACUCAUUGCCACACAGUCGUCAUCGUCGUUUUUUACUGGUUGAUAUUCUGUGUCCCAUCCUCCAGAAUGCUUCUUCUCCACUGUCCAGGUCCAGGGUACAGUAGACACAAGGAAAUAACUGUCCUAACUAGAGGGUUUGCUAGUCAAUUAAGCAUCUUUAUGUUCCCCACAUUUUUUGUUAGUGUAUAUUGGUUAUACAGACUAAUGGGUUUUAUUUUGGUGGAUUUGUACAUGCAGAUAAGAUACUUUAAUCAUUCUCUCCUCCAUCAUCUUUUAGCUUCACUUUACCCCCUAGUUUCAUAUAUUUUAGGGGGUUCAAUGUGUAAAAUGUAUUUUGAUCAUAUUCCUGUCCCCUAUUCCCUAGGCAUUUUGGUUUCACUUAAUCCUCAUUGUGACACUGCAGGGGUGUCUUUAUGUUCAGAUAAUGAAACUGAGGCACAAAGAUGUUGUCUACCAUGUCCACAACCACAAAAACAAUCAAGUAGCCAAUCUGAACACAGCCACACUGUCCGCUGCCCUACCCUUCUGCUGCUCUGGAGUUCUGGUUCUUGUGUGAUACCGUCUUAUUAAGCUUUGGAUCAUCUCCAAAACAAGAUGGGCAAGAUGCAAAAAUGAAAACAGCUCCAACUCAAUUACCCCAAGGGCCAGGAGUUUCAGGUUUGCUCCUCUGAUGGCUUCUCAAACUGGAGGCUCCAGUGAAUCUACCCUUCUGUCUAUGAUGCCCUGCACACUUGCACAUUGGCACUUGUGUAGGGAGCUCAGCUGAUCUGUGUUGAUUCCUGUGUCCUAUGCCCAGAGUGGUGGGGGCCCAGCGCAGCUGCUUGGACAGGCUAGUAAAUGAGUGAGGUGAGGUAUAGAGGGGUUCUAAGGGAGAAAGGUCUGCCCUGCUGUUCAUUCU